rnacentral:rRNA from 1 species
GUGGGGAAUCUUGCGCAAUGGGCGAAAGCCUGACGCAGCCAUGCCGCGUGAAUGAUGAAGGUCUUAGGAUUGUAAAAUUCUUUCAUCGGGGACGAUAAUGACGGUACCCGGAGAAGAAGCUCCGGCUAACUUCGUGCCAGCAGCCGCGGUAAUACGAAGGGGGCUAGCGUUGCUCGGAAUUACUGGGCGUAAAGGGCGCGUAGGCGGACAGCUUAGUCAGAGGUGAAAGCCCAGGGCUCAACCUUGGAAUUGCCUUUGAUACUGGCUGUCUUGAGUUUGGGAGAGGUGAGUGGAACUCCGAGUGUAGAGGUGAAAUUCGUAGAUAUUCGGAAGAACACCAGUGGCGAAGGCGACUCACUGGCCCAAUACUGACGCUGAGGCGCGAAAGCGUGGGGAGCAAACAGGAUUAGAAACCCUGGUAGUCC